GAAACAGCCAUGGAAGAGGGUUUUUUGGCUUCAAGCUUUGGCUAUCGAUCGUCAUGCCGGCUGUCAACUGCCGACGACGGUGCCUUCGGCCGCGGUGGCCAAAAAAACCCAAAAAUAACCCCUUUCGAAGCCCUUCACACGUGGAGUAAGGAUCCGAGGCCAAAACCCCCAAAACCCAGCCAAACCCGACGAAGCAACGAAGAAAUGUUUCGUUUCUUCUCCUUUUCCUGCGUGGCCGUCAAUGGUGAGUAGAUUGGCCGACGUAGGUGGCGUAAAGGUCAACAGUGGAAAUUCCGACUUUUUGCCAUUUUGGUGCAAGGGAGGCAGAGGGGUGUAAGACGGCACUGGAGGCUCACAUGGGAUUGGGGUUUCAGUUUUUACUGAAACUGAGUUUAGUUUUCGGGCCAACGGGCCGGCUAGGGUUUUUAAUUUUGGGGUUUGGUAUGUAAAAUUGGGUUUAGGUUUAGUUGGGCUAGUAGUUUUUUUUUUGGAGCUGUUUAAUUAUUUUGA